UAGGGAAUCUUCCGCAAUGGGCGAAAGCCUGACGGAGCAACGCCGCGUGAGUGAUGAAGGUCUUCGGAUCGUAAAACUCUGUUAUUAGGGAAGAACAUAUGUGUAAGUAACUGUGCACAUCUUGACGGUACCUAAUCAGAAAGCCACGGCUAACUACGUGCCAGCAGCCGCGGUAAUACGUAGGUGGCAAGCGUUAUCCGGAAUUAUUGGGCGUAAAGCGCGCGUAGGCGGUUUUUUAAGUCUGAUGUGAAAGCCCACGGCUCAACCGUGGAGGGUCAUUGGAAACUGGAAAACUUGAGUGCAGAAGAGGAAAGUGGAAUUCCAUGUGUAGCGGUGAAAUGCGCAGAGAUAUGGAGGAACACCAGUGGCGAAGGCGACUUUCUGGUCUGUAACUGACGCUGAUGUGCGAAAGCGUGGGGAUCAAACAGGAUUAGAUACCCUGGUAGUCCACGCCGUAAACAAUGAGUGCUAAGUGUUAGGGGGUUUCCGCCCCUUAGUGCUGCAGCUAACGCAUUAAGCACUCCGCCUGGGGAGUACGACCGCAAGGUUG
rnacentral:rRNA from 1 species